ACUAUAAGUAUUCAACUGGGCGUGACCGUUUUUGACUAAAAAUAUACCGUUCUCAUUUCGGUCGACUCACUUUUCAACCAAAACAAAAAGUUUGACCUUAUAUUCAGAAAACUAUAAAAACUUUUAAGGGAGCUUAAAGUUACAAGGAGCCAUGUCAAGA